rnacentral:rRNA from 1 species
GUAUCAAUAAGCGGAGGAAAAGAAACUAACAAGGAUUCCCCUAGUAACUGCGAGUGAAGCGGGAAAAGCUCAAAUUUAAAAUCUGGUGGUCUUUGGCCAUCCGAGUUGUAAUUUAGAGAGGCGUUUUCCGCGCUGGACCGUGCACAAGUCUCCUGGAAUGGAGCUCAUAGAGGGUGAGAAUCCCGUCUUUGACAUGGACUGCCUGCAUGUUGUGGUAUGCUCUCAAAGAGUCGAGUUGUUUGGGAAUGCAGCCUAAAAUGGGUGGUAAAUUUCAUCUAAAGCUAAAUAUUGGCGAGAGACCGAUAGCGCACAAGUA